GAUGAAGAACGCAGCGAAAUGCGAUAAGUAAUGUGAAUUGCAGAAUUCAGUGAAUCAUCGAAUCUUUGAACGCACAUUGCGCCCGCCAGUAUUCUGGCGGGCAUGCCUGUUCGAGCGUCAUUACAACCCUCAGGCCCCCGGGCCUGGCGUUGGGGAUCGGCGGAGCCCCCCGUGGGCACACGCCGUCCCCCAAAUGCAGUGGCGGUCCCGCCGCAGCUUCCAUCGCGUAGUAGCUAACACCUCGCGACUGGAGAGCGGCGCGGCCACGCCGUAAAACACCCAACUCUUCUGAAGUUGACCUCGAAUCAGGUAGGAAUACCCGCUGAACUUAAGCAUAUCAAUAAGUGGAGGA
rnacentral:misc_RNA from 1 species